UACGGAGGGUGCUAGCGUUGUUCGGAAUCACUGGGCGUAAAGCGCACGCAGGCGGAUCGACAAGUCGGGGGUGAAAGCCCGGGGCUCAACCUCGGAACUGCCUUCAAAACUAUCCAUCUAGAGGUCAGGAGAGGCGAGCGGAAUUCCGCGUGUAGAGGUGAAAUUCGUAGAUAUUCCGAGGAACACCAGUGGCGAAGGCGGCUCGCUGGACUGAUACUGACGCUCAGGUGCGAAAGCGUGGGGAGCAAACAGG
rnacentral:rRNA from 1 species